rnacentral:rRNA from 1 species
UACAGAGGGUGCGAGCGUUAAUCGGAAUUACUGGGCGUAAAGCGCGCGUAGGCGGCUUUGCAAGUCGGGUGUGAAAUCUCCGGGCUUAACCCGGAAGGGUCGUUCGAUACUGUUGAGCUAGAGUGUGGAAGAGGCAACUAGAAUUCCGUGUGUAGCGGUGAAAUGCGUAGAUAUACGGAGGAAUACCUGAGGCGAAGGCGGGUUGCUGGGCCAACACUGACGCUGAGGCGCGAAAGCCAGGGGAGCAAACGGG